UGAUUUUGUUUCUACUUCUUUUUCCUUGAUUCUAGCACCUCUUCUCUGAGGUUUUCUAAUUCCCAUUUUUAUUACCCUCUCCUAUCUUAUAUGAUUUCUUUAAUGUUUUUUUAGCUCAUGUAGAAAUAGUAGGUAGUGGUUUUAAGCUUUUUGGUAGUUGUGCCUUUUUGGCAUUUUUGUCACUGUAGGACAAAAUGCUUCAUUGCUUCCCUCUGGGUUCUAAUACAGCUGCUGAUGCCACUCAGCUCUUGUAGCUGUCUGUAGCUUUCCUCAACUACUAGUGUUUUGGGCUUCAUGCACAUACCUUCAUCUAUUUGUUAUAGAUAUUGUCCAUGGGUUUUAAUUUUGCUCUCCUCGUUCCUCUUUCUUCCUAGGGGGAUUGACAAGUUCAGAAAUGAUGACCUCUCAUCUUCCAGGCAUGAGUGACUAUCAAAUGGAAGAUUUUCAUCGCCAGAAGCCCUGUAUGAUGUACACACCUUGACAACACAGAGCAUAAAAUGUUUAAACAGUGUGAAAAAAAGAAAAGACUGGAAAAUCUCAAGAGCAUUCCAAGAAGUGAAAACAAUGAAUUGUUGACUUCAGACUGGGGUGUGAUCCUGGAGACCCGGAAUCGAGUCCCACAUCAGGCUCCCUGCAUAGAGAGCCUCAAAAAAGAGGCUUUUUCAUAGCUACCUCCCCUACCAUAAACACGCACACACACACACACACACAGAAUCAUUUCCCACCUAAUUCCCUGACUCAUGAAUUGGCAAAGACACACCAUACUCACUGAGCCCCAAUAAUCCUAAGGCUUUGAGGAAAUCGAAUGGCUCCCUCUAGAAAAAAGUUUAAAACCUCCAGGAAAAAAAUCCUUGUAGAAUCAGAGGACUGGCCAUUUCCAUCUCUAAGGGAAUGGAUUAAGAAAGCCAUUGCUUUUAAGGAGGAAAUUUUUCGGAUUAGAUUGAUUUCAAGCCUUCUGUAGGUUGACUGUUCCCAGGUCAACCUGACCUAUUACACUUCUUUGUUGCUGCUUGAUGGAUUUAUUCCUUAUCUUUCAUUCAGAGACCAAGGUGAACUGGAAGCUGGGAGAUCUUUGAAACAGCUUUUUAAAAACAUCAUAGGCUAUAGAUAUGUCUUUUGUUUUGUACUCAAGGUAAAAAUGACAAGCCACAUAAUAAUAAUAAUAAUAAUAAUAAUAAUGUUAAAUUUAAUCUUUGGUUCAUAGACCCAUUGUGGAUAAUAAUGAGUUUGUAUUAUCUGCAUGCAUGUGGAGAGGCUCAGUGGACCAUGAAAAUAGGAUUUAUAAUAAACCCAUGACUAGAAUUUCA
rnacentral:lncRNA from 12 species